rnacentral:rRNA from 1 species
AACGAACGCUGGCGGCAUGCCUAACACAUGCAAGUCGAACGAGACCUUCGGGUCUAGUGGCGCACGGGUGCGUAACGCGUGGGAAUCUGCCCUUGGGUUCGGAAUAACUUCGGGAAACUGAAGCUAAUACCGGAUGAUGACGUAAGUCCAAAGAUUUAUCGCCCAAGGAUGAGCCCGCGUAGGAUUAGCUAGUUGGUGAGGUAAAGGCUCACCAAGGCGACGAUCCUUAGCUGGUCUGAGAGGAUGAUCAGCCACACUGGGACUGAGACACGGCCCAGACUCCUACGGGAGGCAGCAGUGGGGAAUAUUGGGACAAAUGGGCGAAAGACCUGAUCCAGCAAUGCCGCGUGAGUGAUGAAGG